rnacentral:rRNA from 1 species
AGAGAGAGACAUGCGCGCAUAUCAAUAAGCGGAGGAAAAGAAACUAACAAGGAUUCCCUUAGUAACGGCGAGUGAAGCGGGAAGAGCUCAAAUUUGAAAUCUUCAAGGUUUUACCUUGACGAAUUGUAGUUUAAAGAAGUGUUUUCUGCUGAAGUUUUGGUAAAAGUUCUUUGGAAUAGGACAUCAUAGAGGGUGAGAAUCCCGUAUUUGACCAUUAUUUUCAGCUUUGUGAUACACUUUCAAAGAGUCGGAUUGUUUGGGAAUGCAGUCCAAAAUGGGUGGUAAAUUUCAUCUAAAGCUAAAUAUUGGCGAGAGACCGAUAGCGAACAAGUACCGUGAGGGAAAGAUGAAAAGAACUUUGAAAAGAGAGUUAAACAGUACGUGAAAUUGUCAAAAGGGAAGCGUUUGACACCAGUGUUGUUUUCUCGAAAUCAAUUAAAAAUGGCUCGAUUUUGUAUUAGCCUGAGACCUUAAAAGCUCACUGUACAUUUUUCGUGUCUUUUUUAAUGCACUUUUCGUUUAACAAGUCAACAUCAGUUUCUUUUGUUGUAAAAGGGUCAUUGGAAGGUGGCUUUCUUUUCGGAGAAAGUGUUUAUAGCCUUUGGCCUCUGCAAUCGGAGAGACUGAGGUCUGCAGCGUAGACUCUUCGGGGUUAGAUACAUUUGUGCUAAGUUAUAGCUUUUUAUAGACAACUUGUUGACUAUAAUUAGUCUUGUAGCUUACUCGCUUAUGCUAUUUUACCUACGCUUAGGAUGUUGAAGAUGUAGCACAUCAU